rnacentral:misc_RNA from 1 species
GAAAUGCGAUAAGUAAUGUGAAUUGCAGAAUUCAGUGAAUCAUCGAAUCUUUGAACGCACCUUGCGCUCCUUGGUAUUCCUUGGAGCAUGCCUGUUUGAGUAUCAUGAAAUCUUCAAAGUAAAUCUUUUGUUAACUCAAUUGGUUUCUACUUUGUUAUUGGAGGUCUUUGCAGCUUCACACCUGCUCCUCUUUGUUCAUUAGCUGGAUCUCAGUGUUAUGCUUGGUUCCACUCGGCGUGAUAAGUUAUCUAUCGCUGAGGACACUGUAAAAGGUGGCCAAGGUAAAUGCAGAUGAACCGCUUCUAAUAGUCCAUUGACUUGGACAAUACUUUUAUGAUCUGAUCUCAAAUCAGGUAGGACUACCCGCUGAACUUAAGCAUAUCAAUAAGCGGAGGAAAAGAAACUAACAAGGAUUCCCCUAGUAAC